rnacentral:rRNA from 1 species
GAUGAACGCUGGCGGCGUGCUUAACACAUGCAAGUCGAGCGAAGCGGGGACGGGUGAGUAACACGUGGAUAACCACCUAUACGUUUGGGAUAACUUGGGGAACCCGGAGAUAAACCUAAUACAUAUAGAUGGUUCGGCGCUGCAUUAGCUAGUUGGUAAGGUAACGGCCUACCAAGGCAACGAUGCAUAGCCGACCUGAGAGGGUGAUCGCCCACACUGGAACUGAGACACGGUCCAGACUCCUACGGGAGGCAGCAGUGGGGAAUCUUCCGCAAUGGGCGAAAGCCUGACGGAGCAACGCCGCGUGAGUGAUGAAGGUCUUCGGAUCGUAAAACUCUGUUAUUAGGGAGGCGGUACCUAAUCAGAAAGCCACGGCUAACUCCGUGCCAGCAGCCGCGGUAAUUC